UCUUGAUUUCUUGUUCUUUUUCUCUUUUCUUUGACCAUGGCUUUCAACAGCACUGUGUAUGUAAUUUUAUCUGUCUGAUAAACUUCAGAUGAUCCAAUAGAUACAAGCUGACUAUAAACAACCUGUUUUGUACAGAAGGUUCUCUGUCCUGAGAUAGAGCUGGGCCUGAAUUGUUCCUGCUUUUAAGUGAUGUCCGAGUGAUAACCUUGGGAAGAUUUCUGAGAGGAUACUGGUUCUGAGCUGCUUUCAACCUAUCUACUGAAAGAUUGUCUUUCUCCACAAGCUGGACUGUCAUAGUACAGUCAAGAGGUGUUUUGUGAUCAAAUCUAAUGACAAUUGUCCAGAACUGGAGAGGUUAAAAUCACCUAUGACUUCUGCCUAUUUGAUUGCAUUUUGAACAGGCAGCAUACGAUAUGGGAUUCAGCCAGAAGGAAGUAAUUGAGCAGUGGAGGUUUUAUAAGGCUGCUUACUGAAAUAUUUCAGGC
rnacentral:lncRNA from 1 species